rnacentral:rRNA from 1 species
UACGUAGGGUGCAAGCGUUAAUCGGAAUUACUGGGCGUAAAGCGUGCGCAGGCGGCUUUGCAAGACAGAUGUGAAAUCCCCGGGCUUAACCUGGGAACUGCAUUUGUGACUGCAUGGCUGGAGUGCGGCAGAGGGGGAUGGAAUUCCGCGUGUAGCAGUGAAAUGCGUAGAUAUGCGGAGGAACACCGAUGGCGAAGGUAAUCCCCUGGGCCUGCACUGACGCUCAUGCACGAAAGCGUGGGGAGCAAACAGG